rnacentral:rRNA from 1 species
CUACGGGGUGCACCAGUGGGGAAUAUUGGACAAUGGGGGAAACCCUGAUCCAGCAAUGCCGCGUGUGUGAAGAAGGCCUGCGAGUUGUAAAGCACUUUCGGUUGGGAGGACUGCUUCUAGCACUAAUAUUGUUGGAAGUUGACGUUACCUUCAGAAGAAGCACCGGCUAACUCCGUGCCAGCAGCCGCGGUAAUUCGGAGGGUGCAAGCGUUAAUCGGAAUUACUGGGCGUAAAGCGCGCGUAGGCGGCUAGAUCAGUCGGGUGUGAAAGCCCCGGGCUUAACCUGGGAACUGCAUCCGAUACUGGCUAGCUUGAGUACAGGAGAGGAGAGUGGAAUUCCACAUGUAGCGGUGAAAUGCGUAGAUAUGUGGAGGAACACCAAUGGCGAAGGCAGCUCUCUGGCCUGAUACUGACGCUGAGGUGCGAAAGCGUGGGGAGCAAACAGGAUUAGAUACCCCGGUAGUC